UUACGGGAGGCAGCAGUAAGGAAUAUUGCGCAAUGGACGAAAGUCUGACGCAGCGACGCCGCGUGGGGGAUGAAGGUCUUCGGAUUGUAAACCCCUUUCGGGAGGGAAGAUGGAGUGGGUAACCACUUGGACGGUACCUCCAGAAGCAGCCACGGCUAACUUCGUGCCAGCAGCCGCGGUAAUACGAAGGUGGCAAGCGUUGUUCGGAUUCACUGGGCGUACAGGGAGCGUAGGCGGUUGGGUAAGCCCUCCGUGAAAUCUCCGGGCCUAACCCGGAAAGUGCAGAGGGGACUGCUCAGCUAGAGGAUGGGAGAGGAGCGCGGAAUUCCCGGUGUAGCGGUGAAAUGCGUAGAGAUCGGGAGGAAGGCCGGUGGCGAAGGCGGCGCUCUGGAACAUUUCUGACGCUGAGGCUCGAAAGCGUGGGGAGCAAACAGGAUUAGAUACCCCGGUAGC
rnacentral:rRNA from 1 species